CCUACGGGUGGCAGCAGUGAGGAAUAUUGGUCAAUGGUCGCGAGUCUGAACCAGCCAAGUCGCGUGAGGGAGGAAGGUCCAGCGUAUCGUAAACUUCUUUUGUAAGGGAAUAAAGUGGGGCACGUGUGCCCUGUUGUGUGUACUUUAUGAAUAAGCAUCGGCUAACUCCGUGCCAGCAGCCGCGGUAAUACGGAGGAUCCGAGCGUUAUCCGGAUUUAUUGGGUUUAAAGGGUGCGCAGAUGGUUUGUUAAGUCAGUUGUGAAAGGUCGCGGCUCAACCGGAAAACUGCAAUUGAUACUGGCAGCCUGGAGUUGAGUAGAGGUAGGCGGAAUUCGCGGUGUAGCGGUGAAAUGCUUAGAUAUCACGAAGAACUCCGAUUGCGAAGGCAGCUUACUAAAUUGACACUGACACUGAGGCUCGAAAGUGUGGGUAUCAAACAGGAUUAGAUACCCUAGUAGUC
rnacentral:rRNA from 1 species